rnacentral:rRNA from 1 species
CAAGAGUGAACUAGCUAACUGGAAUCAUGAGUGUGUCACUUGUGAUUAGUAAGAGGAAAAUAAUGAUAUCACUUUUACAAAUAGUGUUGUCCAAAGCUGGUGCCAGAAGACUCGGUAAGGCCAGAUACGCGAGCGUUAAUCAUCUUGAACAGGCGUAAAGGGUUUGUAGGCAGCUUUAAAAUAAUUAAAGAUUGAAUCAAAUAGAGGUCAAGAGAAUUUCUAGAUUAGGGUUGAUAUCUAUAAAAACUAGAAGGAAUUCUAAUUAGCGAAGGCACUUUUCUAUCUAAUGAUUGACGCUGAGAAACGAAGGGGAGGAUAGACAAUAGGAUUAGAUACCCUGGCAUCCCUCUCUGUAAACGAUGAAUGGUAGUUGCUAGUAAUAAUUAUUAGUGGCGAUGCUAACGCGUUAACCAUUCCGCCUUGUGAGUACGACUGCAAAGUUGAAAACAAAAAAAUUAGUCGGUUUCGGAGCAA